rnacentral:rRNA from 1 species
AAGGACGUGCUCGGCUUACACAUGCAAGUCGAGGGGUAGCAGGGUAGCAAUACCGCUGACGACCGGCGCACGGGUGAGUAACACGUAUCCAACCUUCCCAUAACUCGGGGAUAGCCUUUCGAAAGAAAGAUUAAUACCCGAUAGUACUUAAUAAAGGCAUCUUUUUUAAGUUAAAGAUUUAUUGGUUAUGGAUGGGGAUGCGUUCCAUUAGAUAGUUGGUGAGGUAACGGCUCACCAAGUCUUCGAUGGAUAGGGGUUCUGAGAGGAAGGUCCCCCACAUUGGUACUGAGACACGGACCAAACUCCUACGGGAGGCAGCAGUGAGGAAUAUUGGUCAAUGGGCGAGAGCCUGAACCAGCCAAGUAGCGUGAAGGAUGAAGGUCCUAUGGAUUGUAAACUUCUUUUAUAGUAGAAUAAAGUGAUCCACGUGUGGAUUUUUGUAUGUAUACUAUGAAUAAGGAUCGGCUAACUCCGUGCCAGCAGCCGCGGUAAUACGGAGGAUCCGAGCGUUAUCCGGAUUUAUUGGGUUUAAAGGGUGCGUAGGCGGAAUAAUAAGUCAGUUGUGAAAGUUUGCGGCUCAACCGUAAAAUUGCAGUUGAUACUGUUAUUCUUGAGUGUACAUAAGGUAGGCGGAAUUCGUGGUGUAGCGGUGAAAUGCUUAGAUAUCACGAAGAACUCCAAUUGCGAAGGCAGCUUACCGGGGUACAACUGACGCUGAGGCACGAAAGUGUGGGUAUCAAACAGGAUUAGAUACCCUGGUAGUCCACACAGUAAACGAUGAAUACUCGCUGUUUGCGAUAUACAGCAAGCGGCCAAGCGAAAGCAUUAAGUAUUCCACCUGGGGAGUACGCCGGCAACGGUGAAACUCAAAGGAAUUGACGGGGGCCCGCACAAGCGGAGGAACAUGUGGUUUAAUUCGAUGAUACGCGAGGAACCUUACCCAGGCUUAAAUUGCAGAUGAAUAUAGUGGAAACAUUAUAGUCUUCGGACAUCUGUGAAGGUGCUGCAUGGUUGUCGUCAGCUCGUGCCGUGAGGUGUCGGCUUAAGUGCCAUAACGAGCGCAACCCUUAAUGAUAG